rnacentral:rRNA from 2 species
UUGACCUCAAAUCGGGUGAGACUACCCGCUGAACUUAAGCAUACU